rnacentral:rRNA from 1 species
GCCCAGCCGUAAACAUUAAUCUAUUAUAUACCAAAGAUUCGCCAGGGAACUACGAGCACCAGCUUGAAACCCAAAGGACUUGGCGGUGCCUUAGACCCCCCUAGAGGAGCCUGUUCUAGAACUGAUAAUCCCCGUUUAACCUCACCCUCCCUUGCCUAGCCCGCCUAUAUACCGCCGUCGUCAGCUCACCCUGUGAAGGCCUCUAAGUGGGCAAAAUUGGCCUCCCCCAGAACGUCAGGUCGAGGUGUAGUACAUGAGAGGGGAAGAAAUGGGCUACAUUCGUUCACCAACGCACACGGAUGACUAAUUGAAACAUUUAUCUGAAGGAGGAUUUAGCAGUAAGCCGGGAUUAGAGAGCCCGACUGAAAUCGGCCCUGAGGCGCG